AAUUGGAGGGCAAGUCUGGUGCCAGCAGCCGCGGUAAUUCCAGCUCCAAUAGCGUAUAUUAAAGUUGUUGCAGUUAAAAAGCUCGUAGUUGAAUUUCGGGAUUGGCGCAUCGGUCGUGCCUUACGGGGUAUGAACUGGUGCAGUCAAUUUCUCACCUUCUGGAGAACCGCGAUGUCCUUAAUUGGGUGCCGCGAGGAACCAGGACCUUUACUUUGAAAAAAUUAGAGUGUUUAAAGCAGGCAUUUUUGCUUGAAUACAUUAGCAUGGAAUAAUAAAAUAGGACGGCAUGGUUCUAUUUUGUUGGUUUCUAGGACCACCGUAAUGAUUAAUAGGGAUAGUUGGGGGCAUUAGUAUUCAAUUGUCAGAGGUGAAAUUCUUGGAUUUAUUGAAGACUAACUACUGCGAAAGCAUUUGCCAAGGAUGUUUUCAUUAAUCAAGAACGAAAGUUAGGGGAUCGAAGACGAUCAGAUACCGUCGUAGUCUUAACCAUAAACUAUGCCGACUAGGAAUCAGACGAUGUUAAUUUUUUAAUGACUCGUUUGGCACCUUACGGGAAACCAAAGUGU
rnacentral:rRNA from 1 species